UUUACGUCUUCACCCACCUGAAAACGAGUAAAACUUUAGAAUUCCGAAAAAGAAAAAAUAUACAGUAACUACAUAGAUCUUUCUUUACCUGUGACAUGCAUGCGGUCGCCGUCGCUGAAGAAACCAUCGCCGGUCUACGGUGGAAAAGGAGUUCGCGGAGAGUUCAAGUCAAGAACUUAUCUCCCGAGACAGGAGUUUGAUCUGUGAAGUUUAGAACCCGAGGUACGAGUACCGGAGCUUAUCGCCGUCGCCGGAGCUCCAUUUCUAACGGUGGCGACUCGUCUUCCUCUCUCUCAAUCAGUCACUCUCUCUCUCUCUCUCUCUUAUGUUCUAAAGGUGGCUGACGAAAUGAGAAGAGAAGAUGUUGCGGGACUUUAGGGUUACCGCGGGUUCGAUUGGGCCAUCCCGCAUAAAGCCCAUACCGCACAGUCCCUUUCCCGCGAGGCCCGCAACAUUGCGGGAUAUCAAAACAUGGGCCCAAACCCGCCCCGCCCCAAGCCUUAACGGGCCUGUCCCGCGGU
rnacentral:lncRNA from 1 species